GUAGCAGGCCGGUAGGGGUAAGGCGCUAUUUUUAUCUAGCAAGUACUCACAAAGCACUUACUUGCUAAAGGACCAUAUAGAACAAGCCUGGUCAAGUGGGCAAACAACCCUAUAAGGAAAGCCUUAUAGGCUUACAAACGGAGUUGAGCCCCCACAGUCCGCGGGAGGAAGGGGUGCAGAGCGCCAGCUUUGGCAGGGAAAGGGAAGGCGAGCCUGGAGAACGGCACCCCGUGGCCCGCUAGGCCCAGCCAGCCGCUCCCUACAACGUCCUCAAGACAACCAUCGAGUUAGGGACCUUCAUGCCAUCCUAGAGCGGCCCGGAAGCGCAUCCGGCAGACGCAAAGCGCGGCGGCUCCCGCGGUGGCCGGGGGCGCGCUGCGGAAGCUGUUCUCGGUUGCCGUCUUCUGCAGUCUCAAAGUGGAGUCCGUCAGUGAUGGCCAAAUAAAGUCGCGGCCAGCGCCCCUAUCAGAUGAUCGUCAGUGAAGCUGGACGAAGUCUGCAGGCUCACGCGCCCAGAAGAGAACACUCACCUGUGCCUGGUAAGGCCCGUGAUCCCAGAGAUUCAUGCUUGAGCAGAGCCCUCACCGGCGGGAACUGGGGACUCCGUGAUCCGCGGGAAGGUGUCAGUGCUCCCAUCUCGCAACAGACAAGCUCUUGGCCCUGGCCACCACCUGGGACCUAGAGGUUAUUCAUUCGUUUUCAUUAUUUGUCAGACAUUUCUGGAGCACUUCCCACGUGCCUCACAGUUUCCAGGGCCACGAAAAACAUUAACUCAGGUAACACAGACAACAACCUUGAGGUGGGUACCGUUACCGUGAUCAUUUCACCGAUGAGGAAGCGAAGGCACACACAGUGUAAGCAGUUUUCCCAAGGUCACCCAGCUAAUAAGUGGCGGUGCUAGGAUGGGCACUCGGGCAGAGGGACCCCAGAGCCCGGGCUCUUUGCCAUUACCAGGUGCUCCCGCGUUGUAUACGUCGUGCUUUUACAAAGACUUUUGGGAACCGGUGCUCGCUCUCAAAAUACUCCUAUCUUAUCUGACAAGUGAGGGUAAUAAUUUCUCGUUUAUAGGGUUUUGUUAUUGGUUUUGAGAACCAAGAAAGAUCACAGAAUGUGAAAUCACCUAACGCAGGACACACGGUCUAUCCCCACUAAAAGGUGGCUUCCGUGCAUUUAUGGGCAAAUUGCACUUGUCAAGUUACUUUCUCACGUGCAGCUCAGAACUCCCCACAUCUUCUGUAAUGACUGAGGAGGCUGAAGCUAAGAGACUUGAAACGCCUUCGCUGUGAAGGGCCCGCGGGCAGUGGGCCCCAGUGCAGACCCGUACCUCCUGGUCAGUGGUUAGGAGGCUCUGGCUGCAGUCCCCUGAAGGAACAUUAACUGGUGCACAGAGGACACCACCUUAGAACAGACUGGCAAAGCAAGAAGAGGCGGGGAGAUCAACCUGUUUUCCACCAGGGGUGUUCUCUAGCCUGGGGUCCUUGGACUCCUCCCAUGUGGUCCAUGAACUUGGAAUAGGAAAGGAGUAGUUUUAUUGUUACCAGCCUCUAAGGGAACGUGGCCUUCCCUUCUAUUAUAAAUUGAAGCAGCAAUCAUGUGGCAUAAGCCACGGCACUUCGCCACCAAGAGAAAUUGCAGAUGUUUUGGGGCGCCUGGGUGGCUCAGUUCGAGCCCCGCAUCGGGCUCUGCUCUGACACCUUAGAGCCUGGAUGGAGGCUGCUUUGGAUUCUGUGUCUCCCUCUCUCUCUCUGCCCCUUCCCCGCUCAUGCUCUGUCUCUCUCAAAAAUAAACACUUAAAAUUUUUUAAAAAGAAAAAUUGCA